rnacentral:rRNA from 1 species
UACGUAGGUGACGAGCGUUGUCCGGAUUUACUGGGCGUAAAGAGCGCGCAGGCGGUCGUUCAAGUCGAGUGUGAAAGCCCCCGGCUCAACUGGGGAGGGUCACUCGAUACUGAUCGACUCGAAGGCAGGAGAGGGUAGUGGAAUUCCCGGUGUAGCGGUGAAAUGCGUAGAUAUCAGGAGGAACACCUGUGGUGUAGACAGCUUACUGGACCAUUUCUGACGCUGAGACACGAAAGCGUGGGUAGCAAACAGG